rnacentral:rRNA from 1 species
AUUGAACGCUGGCGGAAUGCUUUACACAUGCAAGUCGAGCGGCAGCGCGGGGCAACCUGGCGGCGAGCGGCGAACGGGUGAGUAAUACAUCGGAACGUACCCAAUCGUGGGGGAUAACACAUCGAAAGAUGUGCUAAUACCGCAUAAGUCCUGAGGGAGAAAGCGGGGGAUCGCAAGACCUCGCGCGGAUGGAGCGGCCGAUGUCGGAUUAGCUAGUUGGUGGGGUAAAGGCCUACCAAGGCGACGAUCCGUAGCUGGUCUGAGAGGACGACCAGCCACACUGGAACUGAGACACGGUCCAGACUCCUACGGGAGGCAGCAGUGGGGAAUUUUGGACAAUGGGCGCAAGCCUGAUCCAGCCAUUCCGCGUGAGUGAAGAAGGCCUUCGGGUUGUAAAGCUCUUUCGGCAGGGAAGAAACGGUUUGGGCUAAUACCCUGAGCUAAUGACGGUACCUGAAGAAGAAGCACCGGCUAACUACGUGCCAGCAGCCGCCGUAACAC